rnacentral:rRNA from 1 species
GGUGAACGCUGGCGGCGUGCCUAACACAUGCAAGUCGAGCGGUGCAGUUUGAAGCUUCGGUGGAAAGCUGCAUAGCGGCGGACGGGUGAGGAAAACGUAGGAACGUGCCCCUUGGAGUUGGAUAGCCACGGGAAACUGUGGGUAAACCGACAUAGACUCGAGAGAGUAAAGGCCGAAAGGCGCCAAGGGAGCGGCCUGCGGCCCAUCAGGUAGUUGGUAGUGUAAAGGACUACCAAGCCGACGACGGGUAGCCGGUCUGAGAGGAUGGCCGGCCACAAGGGCACUGAGAGACGGGCCCUACUCCUACGGGAGGCAGCAGUGGGGGAUUUUGGACAAUGGGCGAAAGCCUGAUCCAGCGACGCCGCGUGGAGGACGAAGGCCGAAAGGUUGUAAAGUUCUUUUGCUAGGGGAGAAUAAGUGAGGGAGGGAAUGCCCUCAUGAUGACAAGGACUAGCGAAUAAGCCCCGGCCAACUACGUG